CUCUAGAGGUUCCACAUUUGUCCCCAGAACAGAACCAAACUGUUGAGCCUUUUUAUGGCUCUGGUUCUGAUGCUCCUGCACCAACAGAUGACGGCAGAAGAGCUCUCAACAACAGACUGAUAGAAGAUCUGCAGCAUCUUCCUGCAAACCUUGAAGGAACUUAGCUUCCUCAAUAAGUCCAGUUUGUAAUGUACAACAUUGCUAUCUUUGGUGGCAUUGAUGGUUUUUCUCGAAAGAUAAUGUAUCUUGGUACAGCUCCCAACAACCUGGCAUCUACCACACUGGCUUUCUUUCAGGGUUCAGUGGAGGAGUUUGGUUUCCCCCUCAGGGUACGUGCUGAUCAAGGGGUGGAAAAUGUGGACGUGGCACGACUUAUGUUUAUGAUUCGUGGAACAGGAAGAAGCAGUUUCAUAUCUGGGAAGAGUGUGCACAAAGGAUUGAGCGACUGUGGAGAGAUCUGUGGACAGCUGUAACAUGCAUCUACUAUGAUGUGCUACGCUACCUUGAAGAAGAGGGAUACCUCGACAUUUCAAAUGAAGCACCUCUUCUGUUGCCAUUAUGUCUUCCUGCCUCGUCUGCAGAAUGAUCUGGAUACUUUCCGCAGUGGCUGGGACAAUCAUCCACUUCGAACUGAAAGCAACAUGACUCCUAACCAGCUCUGGGUUCUUGGUCGUACACAUCAUCCAAUUCCUGAACCACACGGUGCCUUGACAGAGGGUGUACAGAUUCCCGAAAUUGAAUGGGAGGACAGCAGGCUUCCUCUUCCUGAAGAGUCAAAUGUCACAGUACCAAACUCUAAUUUGCAACUGACUGACGAACAAAUGGCAGCCUUAAGAAAUGCAGUAAACCCAAAAGCCACAUCACUGUCUUCUGGAUGUGACAUUUAUAUUGCUGCUGUUCAAUUUUGCGAGCAGUUUUUUACUAUGUGAAAGUUGUCCAGUUUACGGAACCGUAUUGCUAUCAAGCAAGGAAACAAUUCAAGCGAAAUGCUGAGAAAAGGAGCAAAAUGCUGAUCAUGUUACCACAAAGGUGAAUUUUAGUGAUUUUAUGGUAGACAUGUUUGUAAUUUGAUUGUUUUUUUUCUUUAAUCAAAAGGAACCUAGUAGGUACAUUUGUACAUUGUUGUAGGACUUUAAAUUUCUUGCAUUAUAAGAAUCAGAAAAAGUUUAGUUUGUCUUAUGUACCGGUAAUUUAUUUUCUAAUACUUCAAGCAUAUAUGAACUCAUCUAACUACAUUCAAUAAACUU